rnacentral:rRNA from 1 species
AUUGAACGCUGGCGGCAUGCUUUACACAUGCAAGUCGAACGGCAGCACGGGAGCUUGCUCCUGGUGGCGAGUGGCGAACGGGUGAGUAACAUAUCGGAACGUACCCAGUCGUGGGGGAUAACUAUCCGAAAGGAUAGCUAAUACCGCAUACGUCCUGAGGGAGAAAGCGGGGGAUCGCAAGACCUCGUGCGAUUGGAGCGGCCGAUAUCGGAUUAGCUAGUUGGUGGGGUAAAGGCUCACCAAGGCGACGAUCCGUAGCGGGUCUGAGAGGACGACCCGCCACACUGGAACUGAGACACGGUCCAGACUCCUACGGGAGGCAGCAGUGGGGAAUUUUGGACAAUGGGGGCAACCCUGAUCCAGCCAUUCCGCGUGAGUGAAGAAGGCCUUCGGGUUGUAAAGCUCUUUCAGCAGGAACGAAACGGUCGGCUUUAAUAAAGUCGGCUAAUGACGGUACCUGCAGAAGAAGCACCGGCUAACUACGUG